rnacentral:rRNA from 1 species
GAUGAACGCUGGCGGCGUGCCUAAUACAUGCAAGUCGAGCGAACAGAUGAGGAGCUUGCUCCUCUGACGUUAGCGGCGGACGGGUGAGUAACACGUGGAUAACCUACCUAUAAGACUGGGAUAACUUCGGGAAACCGGAGCUAAUACCGGAUAAUAUAUUGAACCGCAUGGUUCAAUAGUGAAAGACGGUUUUGCUGUCACUUAUAGAUGGAUCCGCGCCGCAUUAGCUAGUUGGUAAGGUAACGGCUUACCAAGGCAACGAUGCGUAGCCGACCUGAGAGGGGGAUCGGCCAACCGGGAACGGAAACCGGGCCCAGACUCCAAGGGGGGGCAGCGGUGGGGAAUCUUCCGAAAGGGGGAAAAGCCUGAGGGAGCAACGCCGGGUGGGUAAUAAAGGCCUCGGGAUCGUAAAACCUUGUUAUUGGGGAAAAACAAAUGUGAAAGUAACUAUGCCGGUUUGGACGGUACCAAAACAAAAAGCCACGGCUAACUACGU